rnacentral:sRNA from 1 species
ACGUACAGGGGGUACGUUGCGGUUCCUGCGCUCCGUCCGCCUAGCCUGGCGUCCGCUCGCUACGCUUCCUCAACA